AAAAAGGCAAUGACAGAGAAGAGUACCCCAUGCCAUUUCUUCCAGGGAGAAAGUGCCAAAGACUGCAAGCACUUUUAUGAAAUAAUGGGUGAAGUUCACCUCUCGAGCCGGCAUCAGGACCGCUUGCGGCGUAAAGGUGCUCCGGUGAAGAACCGUUACCUCAAUGAAGUGAACAUGUGUUACAUGUUAAAAAGGGUGGUACCGCGACCAAAGCCUCGUCCCUUUC
rnacentral:ncRNA from 1 species